AGAGUUUGAUCCUGGCUCAGGAUGAACGCUAGCGAGAGGCUUAACACAUGCAAGUCGAGGGGCAGCGGGGUCUUCGGACCGCCGGCGACCGGCGCACGGGUGCGUAACGCGUAUGCAACCUUCCCAUAACAGGAGGAUAGCCCGGGGAAACCCGGAUUAAUACUCCAUGGUAUCAUUAAUUCGCAUGUUUUAAUGAUUAAAGAUUUAUCGGUAAUGGAUGGGCAUGCGUAUGAUUAGCUAGUUGGCGGGGUAACGGCCCACCAAGGCAACGAUCAUUAGGGGUUCUGAGAGGAAGGUCCCCCACACUGGUACUGAGACACGGACCAGACUCCUACGGGAGGCAGCAGUGAGGAAUAUUGGUCAAUGGGCGCAAGCCUGAACCAGCCAUCUCGCGUGCAGGAAGACUGCCCUAUGGGUUGUAACCUGCUUUUAUACGGGAAUAAAUACACUACGUGUAGUGGGCUGUAUGUACCGUAUGAAUAAGCACCGGCUAACUCCGUGCCAGCAGCCGCGGUAAUACGGAGGGUGCAAGCGUUAUCCGGAUUUAUUGGGUUUAAAGGGUGCGUAGGUGGAAUUAUAAGUCAGUGGUGAAAUUUUGCGGCUCAACCGUAAAACCGCCAUUGAAACUGUAGUUCUUGAGAGGAUUUGAGGUAGGCGGAAUGAGUAAUGUAGCGGUGAAAUGCAUAGAUAUUACUCAGAACACCGAUUGCGUAGGCAGCUUACCAAGCUCCAUCUGACACUGAGGCACGAAAGCGUGGGGAGCGAACAGGAUUAGAUACCCUGGUAGUCCACGCCGUAAACGAUGCUCACUCGCUGCUGGCAAGAAUGAUUGUCAGUGGCCAAGCGAAAGUAAUAAGUGAGCCACCUGGGGAGUACGUCGGCAACGAUGAAACUCAAAGGAAUUGACGGGGGCCCGCACAAGCGGAGGAACAUGUGGUUUAAUUCGAUGAUACGCGAGGAACCUUACCUGGGCUUAAAUGUAGAUUGCAUAGAGCAGAGAUGUUCUUUUCUUCGGACUAUUUACAAGGUGCUGCAUGGUUGUCGUCAGCUCGUGCCGUGAGGUGUCGGGUUAAGUCCCAUAACGAGCGCAACCCCUAUCGUUAGUUACCAUCAGGUCAUGCUGGGGACUCUAGCGAGACUGCCGGUGUAAACCGCGAGGAAGGUGGGGAUGACGUCAAACCAGCACGGCCCUUACGCCCAGGGCUACACACGUGUUACAAUGGCCUGUACAGAGGGCAGCUACCUGGCAACAGGAUGCGAAUCUCGAAAGCAGGUCUCAGUUCGGAUCGAAGUCUGCAACCCGACUUCGUGAAGUUGGAUUCGCUAGUAAUCGCGCAUCAGCCAUGGCGCGGUGAAUACGUUCCCGGGCCUUGUACACACCGCCCGUCAAGCCAUGGAAGUUGGGGGUACUUAAAGUCCGUAACCGUAAGGAGCGGCCUAGGGUAAAACCGAUAACUGGGGCUAAGUCGUAACAAGGUA
rnacentral:rRNA from 1 species